CAGCGCUGCAGGGAGGAAUGCCUGCUUUCUAAUACUCAAAACUGUGUUAGAAAGUUUCUGUCUGGCCGAUUUCGGUAUCACAUUUGGCAGCUCCCAGUGGGACACUCUGCCUGAUCUCCCGUGGAUCCGAGGGAUCUCUGGAUCUUCACGCCAGCACCGGGACUUUCCUGGAGAAGACCACAGAUCCCCGGACCAGUCUGGGACACAGUCUCUGAAACUGGACGUGAUACAUUUUCCAGUAUCACUUGAGGAUGCAGUGAUCCUGACAGUCUGGGCUGGAGAGGUGCCUGGGUGAUCCAAAAGAGCAGAGCCUGUAAGAAUUAAAUUGAAACCUACAGCAGGACUGGUAAGGCAAAAGCAAUACCCUUUGAAAACAGAAAGUCAUAAGGGGUUAUAACCCCUUGUGGAAAAAUUUAUAAAAUAUGGCCUAUUGAAGGAAUGUGAAUCCAAAUUUAAUACCCCUAUAUUGCCAGUUAAGAAUGCAAACUGAAAGAAAGGCUUACCGGCUGGUACAGGACCUUAGAGCCAUAAAAAAGACAGUAGAAAAUAUUCACCCAGUAGCAGGAAAUCCUUACACCUUACUAGCAACCUUGAGUGAAAAACUGAAAUGGUUUACAGUAUUAGAUUUGAAAGAUGCCUUUUUCUGCAUCCCUUUGAGUAGUGAGACUCGAGAGCUAUUUGCUUUUGAAUGGGAAAAUGCAAACAGAGGGAGAAGCCAACUGACUUGGAUGGUUCUCCCACAGGGGUUUAAAAAUAGCCUUAUAGUAUUUGGAAAUCAAUGGGCAAAAGAAGUGGAGGAAUGGAAAAAUCAGAACCCUGUUGGAGUCUUGUUACAGUAUGGAGGUGACAUUCUGAUAGCCACUGACACUAAACAGCAAUGCUGGGAUCAGACUGUGGCCUUGCAGACUUUUGUGGGACUAACUGGAUAUAGAGAAUCCAAAGACAAAGCAGAAAUACUCCAGACCACAGUAACCCACUUGGGACUCAAAACUCUCCAAGGACAAAGUAGGCUGGGACAGGAAAGAAAAGAAGCAAUUUACCAACACCCACUGCCACAAACGGUAGAAGGAACAACAGAGCACAACUAUGUUUUGCUUUGUUUGCUUACAGCUAUAGAAGAAGUGUAUUCCAGCAGACCCAACUUAGGAGACAGACCCUUGGCAAGUCCUGAUUGAGAACUGUUUACUGAUGGGAGCAGCUUUGUCCAAAGAAAAUUACUGUCUGGAUAUCCAGUGACUACACACCAUGAGGUAAUUGAAUCAGGGGCACUCCUUCCAAUGUGAAUUGCACUCACUCGAGCUUUGGAACUGAGCACAGGAAAAUGAGUUAACAUUCAGACUGAUUCAAAAUACAAAAAUUUGGAGUGGUGCAUGCACACAGAGCCAUCUGGAAAGAGGCCUUUUGACAUCUCAAGGCACACUGAUCAAGAAUGGAAAACAAAUCUUGGAUUUGCUUGAAAGUAUCCAGAAGCCAGUUUUAUAGAAGUUUUAUUAUUAUGCACUGCAGUGCACACCAAGCAGGUAAGACCAAACUGGAGCUGGGGAAUCAUUUAGCCAAUAAGGCUGCCAAAGAGGCUGCAGAAAAAGGCACUUUAGAAAACGUAUCUUUAAUACCCCUCCCAGAGAUACCUCUCCCAGGAGAAAAAUCAGAGUAUAGUGCUAGGGACUGUCAAUUAAUUGAAACCAUAGAAGCAAAAUUUGAUCCACGAGGCUUGGCAGUUACUCCAACCAGGCAAAUAAUAGCCCCAGAAUUGAUCUUGCGUGAAAUUGUGGAUUGUGAACAUAAAGCCACUCAUUAGAGUACUGGAAAACUUUUGAAACAUUUACAAAAAUCCGUAAUUGGGUUUUAAACAGCUCAGAUUGUACAAUCAAGAAUACAACAAUGUAGAGUUUAUAAAAGAAACAGCUCUAACACAGCUAAUAAAGUAGUGCUAGGAGCCAUGAAAUCCAGAAAUGUUACAGGUGAAUAUUGGCUGAUUAAUUUCACUCAAUUACCCAGAAAAGGGGAUUGUUAACACCUCCUAGUUCUGGUGGACAACUUUUCUGUGUGGCCAGAAGCCAUUCCUUGUUGCACCCAUCAGGCUAGGGAAGUGACUAAAAUACUGUUGCAUGAAAUAAUAACUAGAUCUGAGGUACCUUUGGGAACGUCAUUAGCUCCCACUCUAAUGCGGAAGUGAUACAAUACAAUAGGUAUAUACAAUAGGUACAAUAGUUAGGUUAAGAAAGUAUAGGAAGAAAUAGUUUGGGAUCUUCAUACUCCUUCAUAGGCCACAAGCUAGUGGCAAACUAGACUGAAUGAAUUAUACAAAUUGCAAUUGGGUAAAAUAUGCCAGAAAACCUCCAGGACAGGAGUCCGAGCCUUACAUGUUGCUGUACUACGAAUCAGAAUUCAGCUGUGGGACACCAGCAAAAUAAGCCCCUAUGAGUUGCUGUAUGGUCGACCCUAUCACAUACCACACGUCAGAGGAGACACACACCUCUAACGAGGGGCCAGCUUCAAUAAUUACCUCAUUUCUCUUUAUAAAACUUCAUGGGAUUUACAGCCAGCAGUGGUGAUCUCCAGACUGACGGGAUUGGACGCACCAGCGCACGAGUUCCAGCCAGGAGAUUGGGUCUACUUAAAAGACUGGGGAACCUAUCUGCUCCAGUCAAAGUGGAGGGGACCUUUCAAACUCCCACUGACAACUUCAACUGCAUUGAAACUGGGCAGAAUAGAAUCACAGAUACAUUAUGCCAGAACUAAAAGGGCCAAAUCUCCUCAGGUAAUCAAAAAACCCAAGAUGCUCAAGUCUUGUUUUGCAAUCAACAUGACAGAAUGUCUACGGAUAUCCAGGAAAUUUGGAAACAAACUCAAAUUUUACAACACACAGCUCCAGAUGACACCUCCUGGGGAUCUGAAGAUAUCUAGACCAAACUUACUUCUUGGUAACCCAGCUGGACUUGCUUAAAACAUCUGCUUAUAACUGUCAGCACAAUAAUUGCUAUGUGUGUUUUAGCUUGCUUGUUGUAACCGUUAUGCUAUAAAAUGAAAAACAGUAAGAGACUAGUUCCCAUAAGGAACUUAGUCUCAAGAAAAGGGGGAACUUGAUAAGAACAGUAGAACAGAACAACAUUUUACUCUUAUCAAAUAAAGAGGAGUAGAUGAGACUGACAAAAUAGAAGUCAAGAGUAUGCCAAAGAGCCAUGUAAGGCCUUCCAAUAAGGGGCGUGACUAUGCAAAAUAAAGUAAUCUACAUACAUCAAGUAAGCAGGGAUAGCUAAUGAAUAUGUAACCAGUGUAACAUGAUAAAAUCUCUGCUGAGCCAACUCUCAGGGCAUGCAAUUAAUUAGAGGAAGGAUUGUCUGAAUGCCAAUGCUCUGCAAUAAAGAAUGCCUGUUUUCUAACACUCAAAACUGUGUUAGAAAGUUUCUAUCUGGCCACUUUUGGUAUCUAAAAUCCAACUGGCCUUGCAUAAGGAGCAAGGUGUCUCACAAGGCCAGUUCUGCAGGGUGUUCAGCACACCACCAUGAUGCCAUGCAAAAUGCGCUUAAACUGCUGCGGUAAAGCGCACUGAGUCUAGUGUGAAUAGAAAGGGAGGAAAGCUGCCAAGUUCCUAAGUAGGUCUCUAAUAAUAGGAAAAUGUAACAUUUAACCUCAGAAAAGAUGCAGAUUACAAUGCUAGUCUUUAAUGUUACAAACAGUGCUAAAAUAUUGUGUAUCUUUAAAGCAGAAGUCGCUUGAACAUUUAACAGCACUUGAAGAGCAGCAAGCCCUACUUUGCUAGAAAAGAAUAACUGAGCUUUUAAAAAAGUGACCAGGACUUUACAAGGGUAGAUUCUGAGCAUUACUUGAAAUGAAGACCAUUUAAAUAAUUUCAUGUUAUACAUCAUUAAGCUGAAACAUUCAAAACUAAGAGAACAAAGCACAGCAAAGAUGAAGUGAUCUGCCCAAGGUCACCUGAAAAUUUUUCUAAGAGGCAAGAAGAGAAACUAAUUUUUGACAAAUCUCUAUGAGCUGACCAGAAAGACAGCCUUCCCUCUAAAAUUUUAUCUUGGGGUGAUUAAGAUCAUAUGCAGGUACAAUUACAUUAUUUAUGUAAAGGCUAUGCCUAUCCCUGAAAAAAAAUGCAAGCAGGUAUCUCCUGAAUUAUCCAAGUAAACUAUGUUCUAUAGCAAAAAUUUGGCUUAUGCAAAUCAGAAAUUAGUUUAGUGCUAAGGCUGUGCUCUGUCACUAAAAAAAGAACUGUAUUUUGGAUGGAAUAGAUGUCCCCAUCAUAUUUAUAAUGAAGCCAAUCAAUUUUUGUAUUGUAAAAUAACCCUGUCCAGAACCUAGAUGAACCACUUGACAUGUCUUCCAAGGACUCUAUUGUUAUAGAUGCCUUUUUUACUGGAAUUUCAAUAAUUAAUCAUGUUUUGGGAUAGUUUUAUUUCUGUGUGGCUUACCCUUUGAUGAUCUAAUUUACAUUUAUAAUGAUCUACUCCCUUGUGGAUUAAUUGUUUGUGUUAUUUUCUCUAUUAAUCAGAUGUCAACAUUUGCAUU